AGUGCCUUUGACAGUGUGCAGGCGGGUGGGGGAGCGUGGGGCCGCGGUAAACAAACAGGAGAAGCUUCGGCGGGGGCCGAGAUGUAGUAUAAACGUUAAUGGAUGUCCAGGGCGCGCCGAUGCACCGGCGGCUGGCCAGAGGUACUAGGGAGGCGCUGGCAGGAGCCCUGGCGAAGAUGCACCUUCCCCAGCCUGGAAAGAUCAGCACCUGUGGUCACUGGAAGCCCACCUUUGAGAGUGGUGACUAAUAAUACUGGGGAGUGAGUGGUAACUUCCAGCUGCCAUCCAAAUUUCCCAACUUAAAUCCAGGCCCAAACUCAGCCUCUGGGACCUUUGAAAAGAAUGCUGCCAACACCUAACACCUACCGUUUAAUCUUUAACACUUAGUGUUAAGUUUGAACCCAGGGCCAGGCUCUGUGUCUUCAACAUGACAAACGGGGCACUGCCCCCAGGAAGCCUCAGGCUGUUGGAGGAGACAGACAAGGAUCACAACUGUAAUUAUUAAGUGGCAUUUAGUAGAAUGAAAUGAAACAAAUCUUCACGCAAAAUCGAGUACUGCUGAUGGAAAGUGAGCUGGAGGGAAGUUAGCGCUUAUCUCCCGCGUCUCCUCAACUGAAUGUGCAGGACCGGGGCCGGGCUUGGGGUGAUAUACCUGGAAAGAGCUGUGGAUCCUACUGAUGUCUUCUGGUGGAUUUGUUCGGCCGUGGGAACAUGGGCACCCGGGAGUGGAGUGAGACUUGGCGAAAGGGAGACUGGAUGCUGGAGAAUGUAGAGGUUGGUUCUGUAGGAGGAAAAAGGGGAAUGUCUCCUUGAGGCCCUGUGUUUGUCAACAACAACGAUGAUGAGUGCCCACUAAGUGCCAUGCCCUGGGCCAAGCACUAUAUGUCCCUUAAUUCUGUUUCUCGCUUUGCCUCUCUUUUCACAAUCUUAAGAACACCCUUCUCUGGAAAAAAUUUAAUAUAUGUGAAGAACUUAGAACAAGGCUUGCAGAAAAAUAAUGGCUGUAUGUGUGUUCUUUAUUUUAUUAUUAUAUUUUUACUCUGGAAUAGGCUGCAAUCCUCCACAUAAGAAGAGGUUUUCCCAGGUUCGCUAGAGUAAGUCCUAAACUUGCUUCUAAAUAACACCUCCGCCCUCUGGAGCAGAGCCGCAGAGAGGCCUCUUUGCUUGGGUACCCUGUUUCCACACAGUGGCUCCCAUUUCCUGUCUUCCUGUGUCUAACCACUCUUACCCCAUAAAUAUUCCUUCUCAUACUUUCA
rnacentral:lncRNA from 1 species